GGGAUAGCUCAGUCAGUAGAGCAUGGGACUCUUAAUCUCAGGGUCCUAGGUUGAAGCCCCAAGUUGGAUGA